rnacentral:misc_RNA from 1 species
GUGAACUUAAUCUGGAGAAAGUGUAUUUCAAUGUCUGUGAUUCCAUGACCAAGCAGAGAUAAAGGCUUGGAGGUAGUGACCUGAGAAGGAAAAGGGACUUCAUCCACCAUAACAACUUCAGAACCCACUACAUACAACACAUAAAAAACAUUAGAAUCUGUCUCAUUACUUGUGGUAAAAGACAAACCUUAGAGAGAGAGAGAGAGUGAGAGGUUUUACUGGUUGAUUUCGUAGAUUAUUUUGUGGAGGGGGAGGAGUUGUGAAGAGGGC